UACGAAGGGAGCUAGCGUUGUUCGGAAUUACUGGGCGUAAAGCGCACGUAGGCGGAUUGCUAAGUCAGGGGUGAAAUCCCGGGGCUCAACCUCGGAACUGCCUUUGAUACUGACAAUCUCGAGUCCGAUAGAGGUGGGUGGAAUUCCUAGUGUAGAGGUGAAAUUCGUAGAUAUUAGGAAGAACACCGGUGGCGAAGGCGGCCCACUGGAUCGGUACUGACGCUGAGGUGCGAAAGCGUGGGGAGCAAACAGGAUUAGAAACCCCUGUAGUCC
rnacentral:rRNA from 1 species